ACCUGGGUGACCAGACGCAACACUAGGCUAAAGGUCACCUGGGUGACCAGACGCAACACUAGGCUAAAGGUCACCUGGGUGACCAGACGCAACACUAGGCUAAAGGUCACCUGGGUGACCAGACGCAACACUAGGCUAAAGGUCACCUGGGUGACCAGACGCAACACUAGGCUAAAGGUCACCUGGGUGACCAGACGCAACACUAGGCUAAAGGUCACCUGGGUGACCAGACGCAACACUAGGCUAAAGGUCACCUGGGUGACCAGACGCAACACUAGGCUAAAGGUCACCUGGGUGACCAGACGCAACACUAGGCUAAAGGUCACCUGGGUGACCAGACGCAACACUAGGCUAAAGGUCACCUGGGUGACCAGACGCAACACUAGGCUAAAGGUCACCUGGGUGACCAGACGCAACACUAGGCUAAAGGUCACCUGGGUGACCAGACGCAACACUAGGCUAAAGGUCACCUGGGUGACCAGACGCAACACUAGGCUAAAGGUCACCUGGGUGACCAGACGCAACACUAGGCUAAAGGUCACCUGGGUGACCAGACGCAACACUAGGCUAAAGGUCACCUGGGUGACCAGACGCAACA